rnacentral:rRNA from 1 species
UACAGAGGGUGCAAGCGUUGUUCGGAAUUAUUGGGCGUAAAGCGCGUGUAGGCGGCUUUGCAAGUCGGGUGUGAAAUCCCUCAGCUCAACUGAGGAAGUGCGCCCGAAACUGCAGAGCUUGAGUACCGGAGAGGAUGGUGGAAUUCCCCAAGUAGAGGUGAAAUUCGUAGAUAUCUGGAGGAACACCGGUGGCGAAGGCGGCAUCCUGGACCGGUAUUGACGCUGAUGCGCGAAAGCCAGGGGAGCAAACGGG